GUACUACUCCCUCCAUCCGGAAUUACUUGUCGCACAAAUGUAUAAAAAUGGAUGUAUCAAGAACUAAAAUACAUCUAGAUACAUCCAUUCCUAUGACAAGUAUUUUCGAACGGAGGGAGUAUUAU
rnacentral:pre_miRNA from 1 species